GCGAUAGUAGCUCAGUUGGUAGAGUAUUAGUUUCCCAAACUAAAGGUCGCGGGUUCGAUCCCCGUCUAUCGCU
rnacentral:tRNA from 1 species